CUUGUGUUUAUUCAUCCUGCAGUUCAUUAUUAUCUAAGCCUGGUUGAAUCUUUUUUUCUAGUUGUAAUUUUAAUGUUUGUAGUGGUGACUGUUUUCAAAAUUCGGUCAUCUUUGCAAACAAGUCUUUUGUACCUUGACGAGAUCCUUGAAAGGAACAUUGGCAUGCUAGUCGAGGCAUCUGUGAACUAUUGCCAAGAAAGAUUACUUGAGGAUCUCAAAUGAAGAUUUUGUUUAAAGGAUUCAAAUUGGGAAUGAAUCUUGGAAUCUUGCAGCAAUACGUGAAAUUUUUGGCUCCGAUUAACGGUCCGAUGAGUUGAAGAAAAGGAAAAUUGGAGAAUUGGCAUGCUGGUUUUAUGUAAGUCAUGUGCUCGGUGUCGAAGUUUCUUGUAAUUGAGAGGAUGAAAAAAUGGCAUCUCUUUUGGAUAAUUCUAUUCUUUUUUGUUAUUGUUUCCAAGUGUUGAUGUUUAGA